rnacentral:misc_RNA from 1 species
UGGUUCCGGCAUCGAUGAAGGACGCAGCGAAAUGCGAUAAGUAAUGUGAAUUGCAGAAUUCAGUGAAUCAUCGAAUCUUUGAACGCACAUUGCGCCCCCUGGCAUUCCGGGGGGCAUGCCCGUCCGAGCGUCAUUGCGCCCCGUCAAGCCCGUCGGCUUGGGUUUGGGCCGCGUCCCACGGGGUUCGCCUCGGGGACGGGUCCCAACGGCAGUGGCGGCCCCGCGGACGACCUCCAGCGCGAUGGCAAUUUCUUUCCACGCUGGGCACGAGUCGACCCGGAGCGGCGCCAGGCAACCUCCCAUGCGGACCUCAUUCGGUUGACCUCGGAUCGGGCAGGGAUACCCGCUGA